rnacentral:rRNA from 1 species
CGUAGGGAGCAAGCGUUGUCCGGAUUCACUGGGUGUAAAGGGUGCGCAGGCGGGAGAGUAAGUCAGAGGUGAAAUCUCACAGCUUAACUGUGAAACUGCCUUUGAUACUGCUUUUCUUGAGUUCGGGAGAGGUUGAUGGAAUUCCAGGUGUAGCGGUGAAAUGCGUAGAUAUCUGGAAGAACACCAGUGGCGAAGGCGGUCAACUGGCCCGUAACUGACGCUCAGGCACGAAAGCGUGGGUAGCGAACAGGAUUAGAUACCCUGGUAGUCCACGCCCUAAACGAUGAAUACUUGGUGUUGGUCCUUUUGGAUCAGUGCCGGAGGUAACCUGGUAAGUAUUCCACCUGGGGAGUACGCUCGCAAGGGUG